UACGAAGGGGGCUAGCGUUGUUCGGAAUUACUGGGCGUAAAGCGCACGUAGGCGGAUACUUAAGUCAGGGGUGAAAUCCCAGGGCUCAACCCUGGAACUGCCUUUGAUACUGUCGAUCUGGAGUAUGGAAGAGGUGAGUGGAAUUCCGAGUGUAGAGGUGAAAUUCGUAGAUAUUCGGAGGAACACCGGUGGCGAAGGCGGCGACCUGGUCCUUGACUGACGCUGAGGCGCGAAAGCGUGGGGAGCAAACAGG
rnacentral:rRNA from 1 species